AUUCCUGACAGCAGCACUGUCAUGCUAAAGACAGACCCUGGAACUGGACUGUAUUAGUUCACAUUCUUGAAGUGUGCACAGUCGAUCAGAAGUUGCUACUUGAAUAAUGGACUGCACUGUGGAUGCUGGAUGAAGGACAGAGCAAGAACUUCUAGCAGCCAUUUGCACACAGAGCAAUUAGCAGCAACAGCUCCUAGCUGAGCGUGUCCUGUCACAUAUGGUUGGUAAAAUAUUUAAUGGAUUUGGGUAAGAGUGAGUGCUGACAGCUCACACCACUCUUCUGGGAGCCAGUAGUCCUCCAGACCUGUGGCAGGGUGUGUAAGAGGAAGCUUGGCUGCAUUUCAUUUGCUUUGCAGCAGGGCACGUAUCCUUUGCAUUUGUACAUCCGAUGUGCUGCAGCUGACCUGUUCUGUGCAUGUUUGGUUUGAAAAGGGGAUGGAGUUCUUAGAACGUGUGUUUAAUGCCCCUUGAGCAAAGCUGCUGUCUCCCAGCGCUGGUUGUGGUAUGUCUGAACUGAGUGCAAAUUUUUUGUCUUAAAGUUUAUUAGUUAAGUCCUGACUUUUUCAGCCCCUGAGCUAUUAUGGGUAUUAUUAUUUGUAAGGGCAAUCACUGGGCUUUUCCCCAGCCACCAUGGUUGGAUACCCCCCACUGCAUGGGGGGCAUUCUGUGGCUGCUUUCACCUGGCAAGUGCAGCCUGCACGGCCUCAACAGGAGAUGGGCUGUUGCUGCAGAGAUCACACUCAGAGUACAAAAUGUUUAAGGCUAAUGGAUGAUUUCUUUGCCUCAGUGUUUAUUCUCCUGCAGCCCUCUUGGACAAGGCAGGAACUUCUUGUAGAGGGAGCCUGGCUGUCAGGCAGAACGUGAGAGGUGAGGAGGAAGCAGAUGGAAAAACUCAGCUUUGCAUGGAUGAGAAGUUAGUAUGACUUCACAUUCUUGCUGAUCUGCUAACUUUGAUCACGCACUCCCCCUCUGCAGCCUCAGAUCCAAACUUCUCCCUGCCACGUGGAUUUUUCCUGCUGCCCUCUUCCAUCUGAGCAGUGUGUUUAACAUUUCACGGACUUGGGCAGCAUCUUUACAUGCUACUAACUGGGAGACAGGCUCAGCGUCCUUACAUAAGAAGUGCUGGUGUGGAUGCUGUGAUGUUCCUCUGCUUUCUGCCUCUGUACAUUCACAUUACAGUCAGUUCUGCCAGCACUAGCAGCCCAUUCAUCUCCCAAAUGUGCCAGCAAGCACUGGGACUCCAUACAGUGUGUGGGAAUCCCUCUGCCUGCAGAAAAGCACAAAUCCUUGCAUUCAGGCUCACAUGUGUUUCAUGUACAAUGGAGGGGGUGGAGGUGGGGCAGAAGGGAGCCGUGUCUGGGUGUUUUCUCUUGGCCCAAGCGCUGCUGGAGAAACCUGCAGUGAUAUUUAAGUGGAUUUCCUUUUGCUUGCUUGCUCUUUUUUUUUUUUUCUUUUGGUUGUCUUGCUCCUCUCUCCUGAUUUACUGCAUUUGCUCACGUGGCUUUGGAAAGGGGGGUUCUGAAGGCGUUCUGCUUCCAAAAGGAAAAGGAGCUGGCAGGCGUUCAUAUUUCACUUCUCAAGUUAUGUAGGGUAAAGUCUCCCGGUGGGAAAAGGGGAGAUAUAAGAGAGCAGAGAGCUGGUGGUGAUACGUGCCAGAAGGAAAACAGCAAAGAGGAGCGCGUAACUCUGGAGCUACUCACAUCCAGACCGAAGUGAGGUUUCAGAGGUGAGCGAUGUGACAGCAAAGUGCUGAUAGCACAUGAAUUUCCUACAGAACCUCCCUUUCUACCAGCACCAACAUGCAGAGCAACUACUCCAUGGGCAUCACCACCAGGGAAACCCUCCAGAUCCUCUAUACAGCACAGGCAAACUCAUCGGCUGUGUUACGCUCGCCGCCUCCCUGCCCGCUGACCUCUUCCAGUUAUCAGUUUUCAUUAAUUCCAGCAUUCUUCUCUGUGGUUUUUGCUCUGGGUUUGGUUGGCAAUAGCGUGGUGGUUGUGGUGCUCUGUCAUCGCAGUAGCCCCAGAACAGUUGCUAAUAUCUACAUUUUCAACUUGGCUAUGGCAGAUCUGCUGUGCCUUGCCACCCUUCCCUUUUGGGCUACCUAUUAUGCACAGGGGUACAACUGGAUCUUUGGAUCUCUCAUGUGUAAAAUCUCCAGCUCUGUCCUGUGUCUGAACAUGUUUGCAAGCAUAUUUUUCAUCACAUGCAUGAGCGUGGACAGGUACCAUGCAAUUGUCCACCCUAUCCGCUCCCAAAGAAGAACUCCGCAUCAGGCGUAUUUUAUAGCACUGGUUGUGUGGGGACUUGCCUGUUUGUCCUCCCUCCCAACUUUUUAUUUCCGUGACACACACUACAUCAAAAGCAUGGAAGUGAAAGCUUGCAUCAUGGCAUUUCCUCACGAGAGUUAUGCGGAGUGGUCUGUGGGAACAGCCUUCCUGAAAAAUGCACUUGGCUUCUUCAUCCCCUUGGCAGUGAUCACCACGUGCUAUGUCUGGAUCAGGAGGCACCUGAUACAAGCACAGGAGUUUGGCAAAAACAAGCAGAAGAGGGACAAAGUCCUAAAGCUGGUGGCUGCUGUUGUUGUGGCCUUCUUAAUUUGCUGGCUCCCAUUCCACAUUUUGACGUUUUUGGAUGCCCUGGCUCAUAUGAACAUCAUUGACAACUGUGAUGUGACAGGGGUCAUCGACACAGCACUGCCAUUUGGCAUCUGCAUGGCUUUUGCCAACAGCUGCGUCAACCCUUUGGUGUACUGCUUUAUUGGGAACCAGUUCCAGGAGAAGCUCCAUCGCUUGUUUAAGCGACGAGUUUACCAGUUCAACAGCCAACGAGAGAGCUCUUCUUUGAGGAAAGGGAGCUGCUUCCGAGACACUGAGAUAGCAGUGGGCAGGGAGAGGGAGCCCGAGUCCCCAUUGUGACAUGGGGCUGUGUCAGUACAGCUUCUGCUGUGAGGACACUCCUCUCUCCUGCUUCUUCCAUUUUGUGAUCGUUCAGUCAUCACCUAUUUGAAGGAGAGUCUUUUCCUCAUCCAUGAGGAUCUAUCCUUCCUUCUUUUCCACAGUGAGCACUCAAGUUUUAAGCAGAGGGAGGAUUCUGGCAAGGAACUCACUUGAUGGCAUUUUAAGUACCAGCUAAUAUGGGGCUGAGAUCAAGCAAGUGCUUAAUGUAACACAGAAAGACAAAAUAGACCAAAGAAACCUGGCACGGUAGCUACAACUGCAUGGGUACUGAGUAGCACACCUGGCUACACUGAUUUUCUGAAAGAGAUUCUCACUUGAGAAUGUGUAAAUAAAGCAGUGAUGAUACUUUUGUACCUGUAUAUAGGAAAAUAUUAGACUUUUAUGAUAUACAUAUAUGUUGUUUUGAAAAUGUACAGUUAGGUAUAAUGUAUGUUAAAUGCAUCAGAUAUGCUUCCUGCUCCUGCCCAGUGUCCUGAGAACACAUGGAGACGUGGAUCUACAAAUUGCCAGAGGCAUGAAAGCAUUCCUAGGGGAAAGUGCUACCACAUGCAUGUUUUUAUGACUUUCUCAUAGCAGGUUGCAGGUUUACAGGACAGAUGGUCCUUAGCUCUGCUCCAUUGUGGUCGUUAUUUGAUGGUAACAGCCUGGGGACUGAGCACGCCACGUCCUGGUGCUACGUGCUGAAGUCCCACACACUGCCCAGCAGAUUCAGGGAAAGGGCUUUCUGAUUGUUUGGACUUUUGCAUUUCAAAUGUCGAUCACUACUGUAACUUUUAGGUACUGUAAGCAAAAAGACUGUGACUCUAUGGUAAGACCCAUAAACAAAACCAUGGUGGGACUUCUAAGUGUUAGCCGCAUCUCAGCACAUACCUUUGUAAAUAAGAGAAACGGAGGGAAAAAGAAAGUAUUUGGCAAAUAGGGAUUUUAUUUUGAGGUCAUGUUUGGUUAUUUAAAAUUUGCUUUUGUCAGAUACUGAUCCUUAGCACCAAUCUUGAUCCUUCUGAAACGAUCAGGUUUGAUAGGCUCAUUAUAAAGGAGGGAUCUGAUGGUACCACGAUUGCUUUCCUGCAUGCUGUUCCCAGGCUGAAUGACCCAGAGUGACCAAAAGAUUGCUGGCUUCAGGGAAAUCUGUCCAGCAAGUUAUUCUUGAAGCUUGUCUAAGCACUUCUGGGUCCAUAGGUCAGAAAUUAAACGUGCUGGCAGGGUAACUAAGAUUCUGGCCUCUCUGAAAUCCCAAAGCUGGCUGCUGCCUGGAAGCCAUGGGAACGUGGUGCAAGAGCCAUGCAUCACUGUUAGGGUGAGGGUCAAUUUCUUUACUGGUGCCCAUGAGAAUGGGAUUUUGUGAGAAACCUGCCAGCCUCAAAGUGAUGGGAGAUGAGAAGGUUAUGUGGAACUGGGCCGAAUGAAGGCUUGACCAGGAACAACCCCUUCCUGGUGGUCCUGCCCUGGUGUGGUGUUCUGGUGAUGGGGGGAUGUGGCUGGAGAGAUGCUCGUCCCAGAAAGUGGAAGAGGCGCCGCCGAGUUUCCCCUGGAAUGUUUAUGUUGAACAUGUUCCAACGAGUUAAUAGCGUCUGGGGCGUCGGAUAUUUCUGGAAGGACAAACUGUUAAUUGCUUAGCAGUGAGCAAAACAACACAGUCAUGCUACAGCCAAACAAAUAAUUAUAUGAAGAAAAAUACCAGGUGUACAAAGUGUCCGGCUCAGAGAAGUAAUAAGAGGUUAUGGAGCCUUUUUACCUUUGCUGCGUUACAGAUCAGGUCAGUAAUGAGCACAGCUGUGCCACUAAUUGGUGAGCUCUGUAGUCACAAAACAAAACGAACUACAGGAGUUGACCCCAAUGCUUCCUAUCUGCUACCACGGCAAGACGUGGGUUCAGUGGGUCAGUUUGGACCUGCUCAAAAAGAAGGGCUUUUAACAAGUCUCGUGCCUUCUGCCUGAUGCACAAACCUUCACAGGUAGAAAAAUAUGAGAGGAAUCUGAAGUCUGGCUGCAGUAGCAUUUAUGCCUGAGAGGGGCUGGGAAAGCUUUCCGGAUGGGAGAGCAGCAAAGCAGAAUCUCCCAUUGCUGCAGCCAGAGGGCAGAGAUUAGCGGCUGCUUCCUGGGGCUGAGGCGGUGCGUUCAUCGCUAUCUGCUCAGGGAAAGCAAUGGAAACAAGGAAGUUAGGUGGGAGGUAAGGCUGAGAGGGGAGGAAAAUCACUUCUUUCAAAAAAAAGCCUACCCAGAAGGUCACCUUCUGCAAGAGUGACACAGCAAGAGACCCCGCUGGCUUGGUGCUGAUAUUUCUGCUUGCUGGCUCUGCUUUGCUGCCUAUGGACAGCAAAGAGUGGAGUGUCUUUGCUGAGUGGAGUGAUGCACGUUGUUUUUACCGGGGAAAUUGAAGAGUGUGUGUGGUUGCUCAGUGUCUUAUUUGCUCUGUGAGUGCAGUGAGAUGAAUUUCUGAGCAACAGUUGGAGUUCAGAGGGCUGUGCCUACUCCGUGUAUCAGUACUGAAGAAAGCCUGUUGCAAAGGGGUGAAUGAUGCUCUUCCAGGUGGAAACGUUAAUGGGUUUGGAGUCAAAGCUGAAUGGCAGCUGGGUUUGUUUGGAUAUGGGAAUGUUCUGGAACAAUUCAGGGCCUGUCAGUGUAUUCCUCCCCAGAGAUGGCUGGAAGGGAUGGUUUUUCCUCAGGUUCAUUUGGUCUCUGUCAUAGUUGUACAUACAAUCCUAUUUGCAGCUUUCUUUUCUAGCCAUAUUUGAUUACUGAUAGCUUAAAUGAACUGCAAAGAGCCUUGAUCCAAACUGAGCAUCCUGUGUGCAUCUCUGCGUUGACUUUAAUAUGCAACUUCAAUACAUGAAGCAAGGAAAACCACCGGCAUUUAUUAGCACAAGCCAGUGCUGAGUAGUGAGCUAAAUGCCUUGUUUAUGUAAGAUAUACAAUAAGAGAUGUUUGGUACAGCAUGUUCUCCCUGAGAAGUCAACGCAGCUUGAGCAUGCCCUGGAACACUCUCAGCACAUUUGUCCUGUUCCUCAGGCCAGAUUAUGGGCAGAAAUAUCAUCUUGCUGCCCUGUGGCUGACUGCCACAGCUUGGCUGCUGUCUGUGAUGGGUCCCCUUCUCCUGCCUGUGGGGCACAGAGUGCCAAGGGGCGAGCAAAUUGCUGUGCUCGCUCAUGGAAAUGAGGGCUUUUGGAUAUCAUAAGAGUGUUGCUUUGGCAGGAACACAGGAAAGACACAACGUGGGGAUGAGGUGGUCUGGCAGCCUUCUGUAGAUGCUGGCAGGCUCACUGCUUGCUUCUUGAGCCUGCUUCUCUCAGAGAAAAAUGAAUGCUCUUGUGAUGGGCUGUGCAGCCUGUCCUGGGGUGUGCUCUCCUCAUGUCUCCUUUGGUUUUGCCUUACCUGUGUGAUGCCUGUAUGUGGAAGAAGCCCAGGGUUGCUCUGUUUAGCAUCACAUACCCUUUGCCCCAGAUACAGUGGUUGACAGAUCGCAGUGUUUACUGAGGUGCCUAACUGAGAAGCAGUGCUCCCCCAUUUUGAUAGGUUUCUCAAGAGACAAGAUGAAAGAAGCAAUACAUUUAAAAGAAGCAAGAGUCAAAGCAGGGAUUUGCUUAUUGGGAAAGCACAGGUUUAGUGAGAGGAGUUUCAAGUGAUGCCUAAACCUGUGGGAUACCUGGACAGCAGCCACAAGCUUGGGUGCAUUUCCCUCACCUAGCAAGGUGCUUGCAGACCUUCUCCCACACCAUCAUGUCCACAGCUGUGCUCUGCACCACUCUGCAGCAUUGCAGUGCCCUCACAAGAAGCAGGGCUGGGUGUUGGUGGGCUUAUGUGCAGGAGGCACAUCUGUGGCUGGAGACAGCAAGGACAGGAGCUGGGCUCUGUAGCUCUUCCACAGUGGGAGCCUAGAAGCACUUCCCCACUGUACUUGUGUCCUUCAUAACCCACGGGAUUUCCAUCCAUCCACUCAUCCACCCAUCCAUCCAUCCAUACAGAUAUCCAUCCACCCCUCUCCAUGCCCAGGCUGUAAUUCUGCCAGCUUCAAGUGUCAGCCCUGCUGUCUGUAGAUGGUGGUGUAACUUCCCUCAGCUUCCAAAAUCAGAUUUUUUUUGCUUUGCUGCCUGUCUGUCCCUGGCAGUAAGCUGGGGUGAGAAGCCAGCAAGAGGCUUACACGGGUGAUGCAGCUGCAGUCCUGGCUGAAAUGUUCCUGGGCCCUGGUCUGGAAAGGGAGUGAGCCAGCCCUGCUUGCUGCCUCAUUCAAAUGUUUGCUUUCCAUUUCCUCUGCAGCUGAGAGAGAAUCUGAAUUUGAUACUAUAAGCUCCAGACAGAACACUGUUAAUUCCAAAAACAUUUCACAGGGAUAAACCAGAGCGAUACAGAAGAGGAUGUGGGUCAUAACGCUGCUUUUCCUGCUGUGAGAUAGAUCUGAACCUGCACCUUCACCUCUCUGACAACCAAUAGCUCUUCUGUUUGGGCAAACAUAGGUAUGCAAAGCUCCACUAUAUUCCUUGCAGACAAGAUCCAGUGUGAGUAUUGGUUCCAAAAUGCAUGAGUUGAAAUGUUGUAUUGUCCUUACAGCAAAUAAGAAAGGCAAUAACAAUAUCCAAUUCAGUGUGCUGCAGUGGUGCAAAUGUGACAUAUCCCAUGCAGAUGACCUCCCCCUAGCCCCUGUGCUUUGCCAGCAGAUGCAUGCAAGCAGCUGGCAGCUGAGGUUGGAAGUGGGGAGCCACUGGCCACAGCCAUCCGUGCCCCGCAGUGACCUGCUUGGCAUGGUGCAGUGCCAUGCACAACACACAGCACCCUUCAAAAAUGACAGAAAACCAUCUGCAGUAAGCAUUAGGACAGCGUCCAAACAUGCAGUCCUUUCGCAAUGACAGGAAAGUGAAAAUAAUGAAUACAAAGUGUGCAAGGCAUGCAGCUGUGUCAUGACAGCAUAGGAAAAAUGGAACAGCUACCACUAUCUCUUGAGAAAGCAAAGCGCUUCAUACGUUGCACAAUAGCAGCUUAAGAUCUGCUUCUUCUCGAAUCCUUGAUGAGGUGAUGCUUAUAUGGCAUGUUACUGUUCAGGGUCCUGCAGAACAUGGUAGGUGUUCUUUGCAGGUGCUGAGCAGCGUUGCUCUGCACUCCUUCAACUGCUAUGGUAAGUAAUGUCAGGAAUUUUACACGUUAGGAAAUAGAUCUCAUGACCCUGAUGUUGCCAACAUCAGACCUUGCAAACCCCUUCACUGACUGCAAGAGAUUCCUUACAAAGUAAGGACAGCAGAAUUUGGUUAUCUACACAAAUCCCUACUGUUGUGAACUCAGGGCUUUUAGAGCAUCUCGGAUCCCUUUGUAACAUAAUGUGCUAUCUGUCCUUGUUUCACUGUGUCAGUAAUCUUCCUUUAGAUGAGUAUGUUGUGCAGAAUUUGCUCAAGCCUCUUUGGAAGAGGAUUCCACCAUGUGCUAUUCAGCAUGCAGUAAAUAUGUUUGACAGAAGUCUAGAUGGAAAUGUACUUUCAGACCCAGCUAUAGUUCAUGAUAUAAUCAACAUAUCAAAUAAGAGAAAGAUUGGUUUUUUCUUUCAGAUGUGUGGUAAUAGAGUGCUGUCUGGCAAAGAAAUUAUACAACCUAAGGGAGUUGUUUUCAAGGAAAAAAGAUUGGAGAGUAUGAUACUCAAUGUACUGUAUUAACUGCAGAAAGUCCCAUGGACAUCACUGGCUCUCAGCCCAGGAUUUGGCAGUGAUUUCAUUUUGAUCCUCUUCCCCUAAAGAACUGCAAAGAGGUCUUUCUUUCAUCCCGGAGAUGAAAUUACCCGGAAAAGUCAGGAAUGUUUAUUUCUUCAGCUCAAAGUCCAGGUUGGGUCUGAACUGCAAUAAGACUACCUGCUUGUAGGGGCUCUUCUGCUGAGGUUUACUUUGCAGGCAACUCCCUCCAGGAAUUGGGGUACUGGAAGGAUGGGAAUGCUCUUAAUGUCGGGCUUAUCUGUAGCUGCAAGAGUACCCAGAGCAGACUUCAUGCUGAAGGCAGGAGCAGAGUUUAUCCGUGCCCAAACUGGGUGGUAGAUCACAUUGUUACUGACUGCUAACGCAACCUUUGGGUUAAGCAAGACUCUCCUCAGGCGUACCAUCAAAACAAAAUCCUGCCAUUUGAAAAGAAGUCAGGGGUUCAAGUGGAACGAACAGGGUGGAUUCAGCACGAGGGCAGGUUGAAUGCCUCUGAAUAAUUGCUGGGGAAUGCUGGCAGGUUUUCCUUGGGUCGCAGAGCAGGCGACAGUACUGAGAACAUGUUCUGGUGCACUGGGACACAGAUAGCACGUGGCCUGGUGAGCCACGCUGAUGCGGUUGGAGACACAUGAAGAAUGGUUGUUCCCAGAGCUCCCCCCCUGCUGUGGAUCCUGCCAUAAAUCUUGGUGGUGUUGGUGUUGCUACCCGUGCUUGUCUCACAGCCCUCGCCAUAACCAUGACUGCAGGGCUGUGUGUUUGACCAGCUUAAAGGGUAACAGCCAAUCCAGUCCCUUCUAAUGCUGUGUUUGAGCAGCUCAUAAAGACGUAUUGCAGUGCUGACAGCAUCUACAGGAGUGUUUCUCUGUACUGCAAACGAGUUCAACUCAUUUCUACUUACAGAGGAAGCUGCUGUUCAGCCACACCAUGGCAAAGCAUGCUUUAUUUCCUCAUGUAAUCUCACAUCACAGCACAUUCUGCUCUAACGACCGAACGUGCUUGCAGGCGUUUGUUUAGCACAAAGUUCAUUCUGCAAAAGCACGGUGCUUUUGCAAGAAAGCGAUUGUGCUUUCAUGUGGUUGGGAAAUACUGAAGGGCAAAUUAAGAACCCUUGUCCUGAAGCCAUUUUGCCAGAUUGCUCUCUUGCUGUAGGCAGUGCCUUAUUUCCUCAUUAGCCUCUUCAAGAAAGCUGAAUGCUCCCAUAAAACUACUAUGUGCUGGUCUUUGUGUUAGAAGCUUCAGUCCUAUUAGGAUUUUACUAUCCACGUGAGUCUCUUAAAUGCUCCGUGAUGUGGCACAGCUCUCUGCUUUUUCAGUGGGCAGAAAAAGGCUAUCAUUGCAAUGCAGGAUCUUGGUUCAAAGGGAGAGGUGAGGCUCUGAUGGUGCUUUUGGAAAUUCCUUGGGAAAGCCUAAGAAGGGUAAAGAAGAGCAGCAAUUGUCUCUUCAGAUCCUUUCUGUAUGUUCUCAUGUCUGAGUUGGAUGGAGAGAUAUUGUUUUGUGUUUUUCAGGGGUAAGAUACCACAUGUAUCUCCCAGGAGGUUGCUGUGUGGAUGAGGCAUUGUUCAAAGCUCAGGCUGUUAGCCAGGAUACUCUGUUCCAUACUCUGAUUUACAGUGAAUGCAUUCCAGUUGGGAAACAAUGGGCUAUUUUACAGUAACGAUCUUAAAUCUUAGGUGAACAAAGUUCUAUCAGUUUCCUUUUUUUUCUCCUCAAGACUUUAGGUCAUAUAAUGACAUCUCAGACCUUCUCCAAAAGAAGAAAGGGGCCACCUAAUGCUUAAUUACUGCAGUGGGAAAUCGUUUUCUUGGAAAGUAUGACAUCAACAACAGUACACUAAUAAAAUUAAUUAUUUUUAUUAAAAGGAGAGAGUUGGACGUGGAAAUUCAGAUUGCAACUGACUGUGCUUUUGAAGCUCAAGCUACUGGAAUGGUUGGAGGAGGGUCUCCAUGUAUGGGUUUUCCACUUCAUGUUUCUUUGUUGUCCUCUGGAGAUAAUUUGGUUUUCACUCACUGUCUGCACAGUGAAAUUGGGCUCCUGGCUGGCUGUGCUUAGUCUCACUUGGAUGAGAAAUGUAGAUGACACAGAUGGUUCCCUAAGGUAUGUGUCAAGCAUCUCUGUUAAAUAUUGACUUUGUGCUUUAGGUGUUUGGCUGGUCUUUCGGUGGUACCCUUACUUUCAAAGUAAUCUGCUGUACAAUAGGUGCAGUGUAAUCUCAAUACAAUCACCUUGUCUCUUUAAUUGUGUUCAAGCCCUAUCCUGAAAACACUUCCUCACUGCAGAUAUUCACAAUGCCCGUCAGGGCUUUGUUUUAUCAGUGUGUGCAAGCACAGGGGAUGCUAGCCUACACGUGGACUACACAAGUCAUCGAGAGUUGCCCAUAUUACAGUCCCAGUGGUGUGUAAUGACAGUAGGGUCAAUUUCAUUUCUUGCCUGCCUAAAGUCGCCUCCUAAAACAAAUUCUGCAUAGAAAUGAAGUGUAAAGAAGACAAGAUAAGAUUCCACCUAAAUCUAUACGUUGCUAAAAAGCAACACAGAGGUCAUCAAAAGUUCUCAUGAACUACUUCAGGUGUGUACUUUAUUCUUUGCUGGUGAUGAUCUAUCCGACAGAAAAUGUUCAUUUUGCAUUAACUUUAUAGGCAGCAGUGGGAUGUAUCUCCAUGGCUUUUUCCAUAACACGGCAUAGGAAGAGUGCACUAUAACCAGAGUGUAAGAGCAGUGUGUUUGGCUGCAUUCAUUGCAAUGAGCAGCGCUCCUCUGGCCAUCAUCCAGCCAGCAAGGCUGAGUUCAAUAUUAGAGUUAUAUUUUCAAUAUGUGCAGUCACCCAAAGCAAAUUUGCUGGGCCUUUCUGGUAUAAAUUUAACCUUCUUCUAUCUGAAACAAAAUAAUUCCUUCAGUAAAUAAAUAUCACCAGGCAGACUUAUCAGCAGCAACCUUUCCUUUCCUGCAGCUUGCACAGUCCUCCAGUGCUCUCUGUCUUGUGCAAUUGAGGAAAUGUUCUUAAACCAUUCACAUACAAGAACUGAAGGAAUGCCCCAGAGCUUUUCUGAUAAGCUUCAGAAUUCCGAUAGUAGUAAUGUCUUAACUUUCCAAACCUGAAGAAAUAAUAUAGAUAAACUUGCACACAGAACAAACACACACGGACAAAAAUGCUGCAUUUCAGCCAAGAGGGAACAUUCCUUUGUGAGGCUAUUUUUAACAAGAUGCCAUCAGAUAAUUUUUGUUUUUUUUUUUUUUUUUGCAACAUCCAACAAAAGCUGAAGUUAUUAUUGAGAAAUAUGAUGCUGCCCACCAGCCACGUUCACUCCAAUAACUCCUGAUGAAAGACCAAAUUUCUCUUUGCUUCCCCAUUCCCCCCCUUGCUUUUCUGUAAGCCCAUUGAAGCUGGCUUUUAGAAGCUCCGAAGUCAGCAUUUCGGAGCUGAACUUGACUGUCCUUGCCUCAAGUAGGGUUAGAGCCAGUCACACUUGUUAGCAAUUAUCUCAUCAGUUCUACUUUUUUUGCUGCUUUUUUACCUAUCCAAACUUACAUUUUUAUCUUGCAAAUCUCUGGCCGUCUCUACUUUGGCAUCUUUCUAUCUGGCUUACAGCUCUCACAGUGCUUUAGCACUGCAUUCCAGAACUGAAGGUAGAUUUUGUGUCUGAUUUACCCACCUCUUGCCUCUUGUACAUGGCUACUUUCCUACUCCUGAUAUUCUUCGGUUUCAGUGGAACAAGUCAAGAUUUGUUUUCUGUUUUUCUCCUGAUAGAAUACAUGUUUUGCUGUUGAUUUUGAUCUUGUAACAUAGCACAGUAUAUACAGCAGGGCGCAAGAGCUGGUUGUUAACCUUGUGAUUGUUCCAAAGGUGUUAACGUUGUCUUCCUUUCCAUAAAUCCAUUACACAAAUAAGCAGAGCAGUGCUGGGAGGAAAAAACCCACAGGAUCAUCCAGUCCAAACAUCCACCCAUCAUCCAAAUGUUGCUUGAACACCUCCAGGGUCGGUGACUCCACCGCCUCUCUGGGCAGCCCAUUCCAGUGCCUGACCACCCUUUCAGAGCAGUAGUAUUUCCUAACGUCCAGCCUGAACCUUCCCUGGCGCAGCUUGAAGCCAUUCCCUCUAGUCCUAUCACUGGUUAUACAAGAGAAGAGGCUGACCCCCAGCUCACUACAACCUCCCUUCAGGUAGUUGUAGAGGGCAGUAAGAUCUCCCCUGAGCCUCCUCUUCUCCAGACUGAACAAUCCCAGCUCCUUCAGCCGCUCCUCAUAAGGCCUGUGCUCCAGACCAAAACUAGCGGAGUAUGUCCAAGAUUUUUCAUCCUGUAGCUUUGUAAGAGUCAGCUCCUUUUUCACAACAGCCUGAACUUGUGUGAGUCAUAAAAAGCAAUUAUUUGUGUAGGUGUAACUUGGGUGUAAUGCUCCCCUGGAUCUCUGUAGAGAUUGCAAAGAGAAAACUACCCCCAAAUACUAUGUCAUGAAAAAUCUGCCACGUACUUCCUGAAGAACUGGUCAGGUGUUGCUGUAGUGUGAUCCUCUAACAUUUUUGCUGCAGGGCUUAAUCCUCUGAACAGGCAUUUCUCUAACUCUCAGCAAGGUCUUCAGGGACACCAAUGACAGCGUUUCCUUUUCUUUCUCCCAUCAGGAGGCAUGUUGGGCUUUUUACUGUCACUUGUUUUGAUGGUGGGAAGGAAACUGCUGCUGGGAGCACCUGGGAAGGGUGUGGGGGGAAAGGUUGCUGUCGUAUUUACCUUUGGAUGGAGGGAGGGAGGGAAAGGGACUGCUCAGUAUUUGUUUUUGAUCUGGCAGCUAACAGGUUCCUGAUAUGAUUCCAGCUCUUUGGAAGUGUUGUCUCAUGCAGUCAGACUCUCCCUAUUGGGCAACAGUUUUGUUGCUCCUCAGGAGCGUAACUGUCUUGGAACAGUGCAGCCGGAGCACAGAGUAACAACAGGGCAAGGGACUACAGAGCUGGCUCCCAUCUUGGGCCUCUGAGUGGCAAGGUCUGAUUGGAGCAGCUGGGAAGGGUUGGCACAGAGCUGGCCGUGCCUGGCUGCUGCAGUGCUCUAGGAGAUCUCCAGCUAACCAGAGCUGUGCUCAGCAGCCUCAUAGCUGAGAGAGCCCAUUCUGCUCCUUCUGGGCAUGAUAGCUGGACCAGAGCCACAUGAGUGGGAACGUUCCUCCCAACUACAGCUAUGUGCAAGUCAACAAAGGUCCCAGCAGUGCUUAUCAACUGAGGAGUAUGAGGGCAGAGCCUUUUAGGAGGGGUCUUUCCUACACAGGAGGAAGGUUUUUCAUGUUCUCCUUGCUGUUGCAUGAUGGUGGGUAGGUUGCUAUGCCAUUCUCAGUGCACACCGUGCCCAAGCGUCCCACAGUCAUACGCAGUGACACCAGAUGCAGAGCACGUGGGCUUCCUGCUGGUGGAGGCAGACUGUGGGGCUUGAAUGUUCCUGAAGUGCAGUCCCGAGACAGGAUGGAUGUGGUAGGAUAGGGGCCUAGGAGGAAGGAGGAGAUUUCAAUGACACCUUUACUUUCUGCCUCAGCAGAAACACCUUUAUCUUGAGGUGAAAUCCUCCUUCCUCCACCCUUUCAGUGAGGUCACUGUAGAUGAGGAAUGCGCUUAUGAGUUUUGGGAGAGAGAAAAACACCCCCUCCCACACCCUCAGAGCCUACAUUGCCCUGAGAUUUAAUAACAUGUUGCCUGCUGGUAUCAUGGUAAUUUCAUGAGAGGUUAAACAGUAUCAUCUGUUACUGGCAGCCCUCCUCACUCCAGUCUGGGUCUGCUAUCAGCUUCUGAGAGGCUGCCAGAAGUCCAGUUUCAGUGUCUGGAAGGACUGCAGAGAUGGACAUUCCCCUUGUACGUGGUCCUGCCCAUUCUACCUCUGGUGCAAUCCUUGAGCAUGUGUUGGGGAGCAAGCUGGCAGCACAAUCAAGCUUUGCCUUCUGAUAACAUUUUGCUAAAGCAUCCCACAUCUGAUCAGGUCUGGGACUCCCAGUCUGAGGCUGGAAAGACAAAUUUCAGGUGGAUUUGCUGGUGGGUGAGGAGAAGGAGGAAGUUGAGACAUGCAUUUUGGUUGAAUAAUGGAGAAGCAUCUGCCUCUUCACCCCACUGCAUUCAGAUGGAGCACAGGCUCUGGGCUCUGCUUGUGUUUAGGCUCACCAGUUACUGAGACUGAAGGCUACAUAAACUUAUACGUGCAACUUUUUGGGUUAAACACACAUAACUUUUAACACUGUACCAGUCCUACUGAAGAAUCAGACAGGUGUAAGGUCUCAAGUUGCUCUGCACUGCAGAAUGCUAUGCAGAGAUAACCUUAGGUGAGAUACGUAACACAUUAUUGUCCUCUCUGUUUUAUAUAAGAGGAAACAGAAAGAUGAAAUUGCCCUCUCAAGCUGAGUGUCCGCAUUCCUGGCAUGUCCCAGCCUCCUACAUCCUCACUGGCUGCUGUGGGUACAGAAUGAAGAUGGAAAUUGGGCAGCAGUGUCAGACUCAAGUGGAUGUUCUUAGUUUCAAGCUUGAUGCUUUGUCAAACAAGCCAUAUGUUUUCAGUUUGAAAAUUUGUAAGAACUACAUAAGCCAUGAGAAAUAUGAAACUGUGCCAGUAAUUCCAUUUAUCUCACUUGAUUUUGCAAUAAUAGUAACAGUAAAAUAGUCCGUUUAGAAA